CGUAGCGAGAAAGCGUUGCCGCAGGCAACGACCCGAAGGGCGAAGCGCGAAGCGCUGAGUAAUCCUUCCCCCACCACCA
rnacentral:sRNA from 1 species